UCCUGGUGGCUCAGAUGGUAAAGCAUCUGCCUACAACGUGGAAGACCCAGGUUCCAUCCCUGGGUCAGGAA
rnacentral:tRNA from 1 species